rnacentral:rRNA from 1 species
GACGAACGCUGGCGGCGUGCUUAACACAUGCAAGUCUACGAGAAUAAGGUAGCAAUAUCUUUAGUAAAGUGGCGCACGGGUGAGUAACACGUAAGUAACCUACCUUUAGAUUUGGAAUAACCCCGAGAAAUCGGGGCUAAUACCGAAUGAUGCAGCGGCACCACAUGGUGAUGUUGUUAAAGUCUAUAUGACGUCUAAAGAUGGGCUUGCGUCUGAUUAGCUAGUUGGUGAGGUAACGGCCCACCAAGGCUUCGAUCAGUAGCUGGUCUGAGAGGAUGAUCAGCCACACUGGAACUGAGACACGGUCCAGACUCCUACGGGAGGCAGCAGUGAGGAAUAUUGGGCAAUGCCCGGAAGGGUGACCCAGCAACGCCGCGUGGAGGAUGAAUGUCGUAAGAUUGUAAACUCCUGUUAGAGGGGAAGAAUAAUUCCGAUCGACUCGGAAAUUGACUGUACCCUCAGAGAAAGCCCCGGCUAACUACGUGCCAGCAGCCGCCGUAAUAC